GGAAUGUCAAAUUGUAAAUUAUUGUACAGUAUAUUUGUAUCAAAUAUUUUCAAUGAAACAGGAUAUGUUCAAUUUUAAUUGAACUUAAAUUAGUGAUGUGUAUAGCAGAAUGCAUUUAUUCUCCUAUUCCAUUAGAUUCGUAUUUUUUUGUAAGCAAAAAAUCUUGUCAAGAACUUAGUUGACAAUACUUUGCUUUUUUUUUUAACAUCUACAAUGUACUAUUCAACAAAACCUGAUCUCUUACUAGUUAUAUUUGUCCUAACAUCUUGAACAGGAUAGAUCUGUAAGAUGGUACAGAAUAUUGUUUCUUGAAUAUUUCUAGGAUAUUAAUUUCAGUUUGCACAACAUUUUCCAGAAAAAUCUUCAUAAAUUUGCUCAUGUUCGAAGUUUUGAAAACCUAAAUGCAUAACACAUCUGUGUGCAUCAAAAUAAAAAAGUGAACUCUGAAUUAUUUAUAGUUCUACAUAAGUAAAGUUACAAAUAAACCAUAAGCAUGUGGGGAAAAAAUGAAUUUGUAUAAAUGAAACCUUAAGAGGAAUUCACCUUUUUGCUAAAGGGUUAAAGAAAAAAUGUCACAUGAAUCUGAUGCUUGACAACGUUAGAUUGACAGUCACACUUGAAGUUUUCUGGAAAAAAGUUGCAAAUAUUUUAUUAAAAACAACUGCAAACAACUUGAAAUAAUCUGUAAUAUUUUGUUCUUAAUUUAACUACAUAGAAUAAGUAUAUAUGUAUAUAUUGUUUCAGUUCUGAAUGCUUUUGAUAUUCAGGUGGUGACUCCAUUUUGUUUUCAUAUAACUGUCAUUGAGAGCAAUGAAUUGUGGGAUGUUAACACUGUGAUCAAGUAAUGAACAUAAGUGAAACAUAUAUAUUCCAUCCAUUAAAAAUAUUUAAAAAAAAACAAGUUUUUGUGAUAUUUAUUGAGGAUUUAAUUUUAUGAUUGUAAAACUGAAAAUAUUUCUUAUUAUGCCAUUUCUUCAAGAGAUUUACUGGGAUUUUUGUAUUUUCUAAAGAUCAUGUUUUAAAAUAUGUCUACAGAUGUUAUCAUUAGAGAUGUUUGAAUUUCCAACUCCUUUGAUCAGGCCAUUUCCUGAGGUCUUCCAUAUUCAAAGUACUCCUUUUUCCUAAGUUGAAGGCAUCCGAAGUGUCCUAAGUGUGAUAGAUGUUGUAAAAGUGAUGUUUUUAGAUGAUGAUGAGGACAAUACAUGGAUUAAAAGUUUAAACGUAGCACUUGACUCUAGGUUCUAUGUUAGUAUCUGUCCCAAAAAAAGGACUUCAUUGGCAAAAGAUUGUUGACUUCUUCUUGCACAGAAUUUUCAGACUUUUACGAAGAUUAUUAUUCUUUUGACCAGUUACAGUUGUUCUAUUUCAC
rnacentral:lncRNA from 1 species